rnacentral:rRNA from 1 species
AUGGACAAACGGCUGCCUCCGGGAAGUCGGGAGUCUCCAGCUGCAGGGACGUCGCCGGCCGGGUUACAAUCCUUCAGAUCCAGCGCGGUGGGGUGCGGUAAUCAGAUCGGCUCCAAAUUCUGGUUGAUGGUCUGCGUCGAGCACGACAUUGACCCCACCGGCUACUAUGUCGGCACCUCCGACCUGCAGCUCGAGCGCGUCAACGUCCAACACAAUGAGGCCUCCUGCGGUCGAUUUGUGCCCCACACGGUGCUCAUGGACCUCGAACGCUGCACCGUGCCCUACAGCCAGAUCUCCCCCUGCAAUUUUUGUGCUCACCGUGUAGGUGUCUUCUCCAAGGCGUCCUUAGCCUCUGAACAUCCCGCUCCAUCAAGGUACCUACCCAUGUUUCCAAUUCCCAAACUGAUUCUUUCACUUGGGCCAGAGGACAGUAGCCACCCUAAGAUUAAUCGUCUGAAUCCAUUGAUAGCACUGCUUUGUUUGAGUUGA